CCUACGGGUGGCAGCAGUGGGGAAUAUUGGGCAAUGGGCGCAAGCCUGACCCAGCAACGCCGCGUGAAGGAAGAAGGCUUUCGGGUUGUAAACUUCUUUUCUCAGGGACGAAGCAAGUGACGGUACCUGAGGAAUAAGCCACGGCUAACGACGUGCCAGCAGCCGCGGUAAUACGUAGGUGGCAAGCGUUAUGCGGAUUACUGGGUGUAAAGGGCGUGUAGGCGGGACUGGAAGUCAGAUGUGAAAACCACGGGCUCAACCUGUGGCCUGCAUUUGGAACUGUAGUUCUUGAGUACUGGAGAGGCGGACAGAAUUCCUAGUGUAGCGGUGAAAUGCGUAGAUAUUAGGAGGAACACCAGUGGCGAAGGCGGUCUGCUGGACAGCAACUGACGCUGAGGCGCGAAAGCGUGGGGAGCAAACAGGAUUAGAUACCCUUGUAGUC
rnacentral:rRNA from 1 species